CAUGUCUAAGUAUAAGCAAUUAUACAGCGAAACUGCGAAUGGCUCAUUAAAUCAGUUAUCGUUUAUUUGAUAGUACCUUACUACAUGGAUAACCGUGGUAAUUCUAGAGCUAAUACAUGCUGAAAACCCCGACUUCGGAAGGGGUGUAUUUAUUAGAUUAAAAACCAAUGCCCUUCGGGGCUCACUGGUGAUUCAUGAUAACUUCUCGAAUCGCACGGCCUUGCGCCGGCGAUGGUUCAUUCAAAUUUCUGCCCUAUCAACUUUCGACGGCUGGGUCUUGGCCAGCCGUGGUGACAACGGGUAACGGAGGGUUAGGGCUCGACCCCGGAGAAAACGCCUGAGAAACGGCGUUUACAUCCAAGGAAGGCAGCAGGCGCGCAAAUUACCCAAUGCCGACACGGCGAGGUAGUGACGAGAAAUACUGAUACAGGGCUCUUUUGGGUCUUGUAAUUGGAAUGAGUACAAUUUAAAUCUCUUAACGAGGAACAAUUGNNNNNNNNNNNNNNNNNNNNNNNNNNNNNNNNNNNNNNNUCCAAUAGCGUAUAUUAAAGUUGUUGCAGUUAAAAAGCUCGUAGUUGAACCUUGGGCCUGGCUGGCCGGUCCGCCUCACCGCGUGCACUGGUCCGGCCGGGCCUUUCCCUCUGGGGAGCCCCAUGCCCUUUACUGGGCGUGGCGGGGAACCAGGACUUUUACUUUGAAAAAAUUAGAGUGUUCAAAGCAGGCCUAUGCUCGAAUACAUUAGCAUGGAAUAAUAGAAUAGGACGUGUGGUUCUAUUUUGUUGGUUUCUAGGACCGCCGUAAUGAUUAAUAGGGACAGUCGGGGGCGUCAGUAUUCAAUUGUCAGAGGUGAAAUUCUUGGAUUUAUUGAAGACUAACUACUGCGAAAGCAUUCGUCAAGGAUGUUUUCAUUAAUCAGGAACGAAAGUUAGGGGAUCGAAAACGAUCAGAUACCGUUGUAGUCUUAACCAUAAACUAUGCCGACUAGGGAU
rnacentral:rRNA from 1 species